rnacentral:rRNA from 1 species
AUUGAACGCUGGCGGCAGGCCUAACACAUGCAAGUCGAGCGGAUGAAGGGAGCUUGCUCCUGGAUUCAGCGGCGGACGGGUGAGUAAUGCCUAGGAAUCUGCCUGGUAGUGGGGGAUAACGUCCGGAAACGGGCGCUAAUACCGCAUACGACCUGAGGGAGAAAGUGGGGGAUCUUCGGACCUCACGCUAUCAGAUGAGCCUAGGUCGGAUUAGCUAGUUGGUGGGGUAAAGGCCUACCAAGGCGACGAUCCGUAACUGGUCUGAGAGGAUGAUCAGUCACACUGGAACGGAGACACGGUCCAGACUCCUACGGGAGGCAGCAGUGGGGAAUAUUGGAGAAUGAGCGAAAGCCUGAUCCAGCCAUGCCGCGUGUGUGAAGAAGGUCUUCGGAUUGUAAAGCAUUUUAAGUUGGGAGGAAGGGCAGUAAGUUAAUACCUUGCUGUUUUGACGUUACCAACAGAAUAAGCACCGGCUAACUUCGUG